GAUGAACGCUGGCGGCGUGCCUAAUACAUGCAAGUCGAGCGAACAGACGAGGAGCUUGCUCCUCUGACGUUAGCGGCGGACGGGUGAGUAACACGUGGAUAACCUACCUAUAAGACUGGGAUAACUUCGGGAAACCGGAGCUAAUACCGGAUAAUAUAUUGAACCGCAUGGUUCAAUAGUGAAAGACGGUUUUGCUGUCACUUAUAGAUGGAUCCGCGCCGCAUUAUCUAGUUGGUAAGGUAACGGCUUACCAAGGCAACGAUGCGUAGCCGACCUGAGAGGGUGAUCGGCCACACUGGAACUGAGACACGGUCCAGACUCCUACGGGAGGCAGCAGUAGGGAAUCUUCCGCAAUGGUCGAAAGCCUAACGUAGCAACGCCGCGUGAGUGAUGAAGGUCUUCGGAUCGUAAAACUCUGUUAUUAGGGAAGAACAAAUGUGUAAGUAACUAUGCACGUCUUGACGGUACCUAAUCAGAAAGCCACGGCUAACUACGUG
rnacentral:rRNA from 1 species